rnacentral:rRNA from 1 species
UACAGAGGGUGCGAGCGUUAAUCGGAUUUACUGGGCGUAAAGCGUGCGUAGGUGGCCAAUUAAGUCAAAUGUGAAAAUCCCUGAGCUUAACUUAGGAAUUGCAUUCGAUACUGGGAAGCUAGAGUAUGGGAGAGGAUGGUAGAAUUCCAGGUGUAGCGGUGAAAUGCGUAGAGAUCUGGAGGAAUACCGAUGGCGAAGGCAGCCAUCUGGCCUAAUACUGACGCUGAGGUACGAAAGCAUGGGGAGCAAACAGG